GAUGAACGCUGGCGGCGUGCCUAAUACAUGCAAGUAGAACGCUGAAGGAGGAGCUUGCUCUUCUGGAUGAGUUGCGAACGGGUGAGUAACGCGUAGGUAACCUGCCUGGUAGCGGGGGAUAACUAUUGGAAACGAUAGCUAAUACCGCAUGACAACAGUUCUUGCAUGAUAACUGUUUAAAAGUGGCACCUGCUCCACUACCAGAUGCACCUGCGUUGUAUUAUCUAGUUGGUGAGGUAACGGCUCACCAAGGCGACGGUACAUCUCCGAGCUGAGAGGGUGAUCGGCCAAAAUGGGAAUGAGACACGGCCCAGGCGCCUACGGGAGGCAGCAGUAGGGAAUCUUCGGCAAUGGACGGAAGUCUGACCGAGCAACGCCGCGGGAGUGAAGAAGGGUGUCGGAUCGUAAAGCUCUGUUGUAAGAGAAGAACGAGUGUGAGAGUGGAAAGUUCACACUGUGACGGUAUCUUACCAGAAAGGGACGGCUAACUACGUG
rnacentral:rRNA from 1 species